GAUGAACGCUGGCGGCGUGCCUAAUACAUGCAAGUCGAGCGAAUGGAUUAAGAGCUUGCUCUUAUGAAGUUAGCGGCGGACGGGUGAGUAACACGUGGGUAACCUGCCCAUAAGACUGGGAUAACUCCGGGAAACCGGGGCUAAUACCGGAUAACAUUUUGAACCGCAUGGUUCGAAAUUGAAAGGCGGCUUCGGCUGUCACAUAUGGAUGGACCCGCGUCGCAUUAGCUAGUUGGUGAGGUAACGGCUCACCAAGGCAACGAUGCGUACCCGAGCUGAGAGGGUGAUCGUCCACACAGGGAAUGAGACACGGACCAGACUCCUACGGGGGGCAGCAGUAGGGAAUCAUCCGCAAUGGACGAAAGUCUGACGGAGCAACUCCGCGGGAGUGAUGAAGGCUUUCGGGUCGUAAAACUCUGUUGUUAGGGAAGAACAAGUGCUAGUUGAAUAAGCUGGCACCUUGACGGUACCUAACCAGAAAGCCACGGCUAACUACGUGCCAGCCGCCGCAGUAA
rnacentral:rRNA from 1 species